UGCCAGACUCCUACGGGAGGCAGCAGUGGGGGAUAUUGCACAAUGGGGGGAACCCUGAUGCAGCGACGCCGCGUGGGUGAAGAAGCGCCUCGGCGCGUAAAGCCCUGUCAGCAGGGAAGAAAAUGACGGUACCUGAAGAAGAAGCCCCGGCUAACUACGUGCCAGCAGCCGCGGUAAUACGUAGGUGGCAAGCGUUGUCCGGAUUUACUGGGUGUAAAGGGCGUGCAGCCGGAGAGACAAGUCAGAUGUGAAAUCCACGGGCUCAACCCGUGAACUGCAUUUGAAACUGUUUCCCUUGAGUGUCGGAGAGGUAAUCGGAAUUCCUUGUGUAGCGGUGAAAUGCGUAGAUAUAAGGAAGAACACCAGUGGCGAAGGCGGAUUACUGGACGAUAACUGACGGUGAGGCGCGAAAGCGUGGGGAGCAAACAGGAUUAGAUACCCUUGUAC
rnacentral:rRNA from 1 species